UUCCCCAUGAGUUCUCUGCUGAACUCUGGCAUUAUUUGCUAGACAUUCUAUUCAAGGUGUGAUUAUCUGCUCAUAAUUUUGGUUCUUCUUUCUGGAGAGGGCAAGAUGUCUCUAGCCAGCCAUCUUGAACUGUGGUCUAGGAUACUCUGCUUAGCUCCUGAGUGUCAUUCCACCAUUGGGAGGGAGAAGGAGCAUAGAUGCUAUGGAGUUGAGUGCAAGAGUCAAUGGUAUUUUCUCAUAGCAGCCUGAAGAAACUAAAUUAUGAGACCAUCAUGGAGGCCAGUUCCAGAAGAAAACUUCAGAUUCUGUGUUUAUGUUGGCUUCCUUCUCCCCGUCUCCUUCAUGAUGAAAGAGAAACAACUGUCAGCAGGGUUCCAUUCUAUAUGGCUUAUACUUCAAAGAGAAAGAGAAACUUGUCUCUCCCCGAUUCAGAAUGAAGUCUCAGCAGAUGAUUUUUACUGAUUGCUCUAGCAUGGAUAACUUGACAUCACUUUAUUUAUCACUGUGGCCAGGAGAAGUAGGGACCAUAAUAGGUCAGGCCAAGGUCAAAUGGAAAUCUCUGUGUUAGGAGGGGUAGAAUACCACAACUGAAAAUCUCAUCAGAACCACACGGCAUGAGCAAGGCACCAAUCCACAAAGGUUUUUGCUGAAAGAAUCAAGAGUUCAGUGACAGAAGAAUGAGGGUCAGAGAAGCAUGAAGACAAAGGAGAAUGAGGGUCAUUUAUUCAAUAAACAUUUGUAACACUCAUACUAUAAGCCAGGCACUAUGCUAGGAGCAUUCAGAAGUACUGUCUCACUUAAUAAAGCACUACUACCUCCAUUUUGCAGAUAAUAAAACUGAGGCAAGUAU